rnacentral:rRNA from 1 species
UUGGUAGGGUAGCGGCCUACCAAGGCAACGAUCAGUAGCCGGCCUGAGAGGGUGGACGGCCACACUGGGACUGAGAACGGCCCAGACUCCUACGGGAGGCAGCAGUGGGGAAUAUUGCGCAAUGGGGGAAACCCUGACGCAGCGACGCCGCGUGAGCGAAGAAGGCCUUCGGGUUGUAAAGCUCUGUUGUAAGGGACGAAAGAUCAAGGGAAUAACUGCCCUUGAAGUGACGGUACCUUACCAGCAAGCCCCGGCUAACUACGUGCCAGCAGCCGCGGUAAGACGUAGGGGGCGAGCGUUGUCCGGAAUUACUGGGCGUAAAGAGCACGUAGGCGGAUGUAUAAGUCAGGUGUGAAAGACCGCAGCCUAACUGCGGGGUUGCACUUGAAACUGUAUAUCUUGAGGGCAGGAGAGGUUAGUAGAAUUCCUGGUGUAGCGGUGAAAUGCGUAGAAAUCAGGAGGAAUACCAGUGGCGAAGGCGACUGACUGGACUGACCCUGACGCUGAGGUGCGAAAGCGUGGGUAGCAAACAGGAUUAGAUACCCUGGUAGUCCACGCCGUAAACGAUGGAUACUAGGUGUGGGAGGUAUCGACCCCUUCCGUGCCGCAGCUAACGC